rnacentral:lncRNA from 1 species
AAAUUAUAAUGGAUACAGAAACGAUCAGACAGCGACUCAACAGCACCAAAAGCCCAACAAGAACCGCAAUGUCCCUGAAAUAUAUAGGAUUAGACCACUUGAGAGAACCUGCAAUGUGCUAUUUAGCACAUUUAAUGGAAAGAAACUAGACCAGUAGCAGAAAAUCACCUGAUCUGUGAUGCAAAUUUGUCCCGGUGAUUGAUGUGCAAAGAUAGAAAACAUCAGAAUCUCUAUUAUAGAACUAUGGCUAGAAAGGACGGACAAGGAAGUGAAAUAACUGACCUAGAAUUCUUCCAAUUGUGCUGCAUUGAGGCCAAGCCUUUCGUGCAUCAAACUCUUUUGGUAACUCCUUAAGUUUUGGAUGAGUUAGAACAGGAAUUCCCUCCAAAUCACCUUCUCUUGCAGGCUUAACUCCAAGAAGGCGCUUAAAUUGGGAAACCUGUGACAACCAAAUAUGGACAUAACUAUAAGUGCAUGUUUUCGGUGUAUAGCUGCAAAAUUGCAUGAAGAAGUAUGAAACAUCCCACUAAAAGAAAAUGCAACUGUUAGUGAUCAAUAAGUUGCCUUAGUUUCAAAGUUACUAACUCAUUCUUUUUAUAGAAUGUAAUUGUAAAGUCAUAUUUUAGGUGACAUGAGUCAUGACAAUGCAAAAGUUUAGACCUUUACAAGUUAAAUCUUUAGCUAUAUGAUGGUCUCACCGUGAAAUUCGAUAAUUGAGGGUUGAAUGCAGCUUUCCAUCCAGCUUCGGCAUUCUCAUUGACUUGUUUGACGAUCGAGUCCUACAUAAUCAUCCAAAAAUUAAGGUGUCUCAGUUUUAAAUUCGACAUGAGCACAAUGACAUUAACAUCUUCUUGAAUCAUGAAGAAAAGAGCAUACUUGAAGGAUUGCAGAUUCAAGUUUUGCUUCAGUUAUUGGCUUCUCUGCAGCAACCUGCUUUCAAGAAAAAGACAGCAUUACAAAUUUACAAUACUCUUAGCCUGAAUAUUUCUUAUUGACAAAAAUAUGUAUGUAAUACAUCAUAUAACUAAAACACUACAACAUGGGGAAAUUACGACGAAAUAUAAAGCAAGCAGAAGUUGUAACUAGUCAACUAUUUCUUCUCUUUUUCCCCCUUUUGUAUUACUUUAUGAAGCAAUACUUCCUCUCAUGUAGACUCACGUAUAUAUAGAAGACAUAAUAUAUAAAGACUCAUGUAUAUAUAGAAGACAUAAUAUAUAAACAGACACUCAAACACGGUUUCAGCUGACAAGUGAGCACUCCAAUUUGAAAAUGCAUAUUUAGACAACUCAACUUGGUCACAACUGACAUAAGAACACUUCAACUCGUACCCAUAGCGUCUCGUGGACAUCUGACAUGACACAUAAAUUUUGGAGGUGUCCAGAUGAUCAUUUUGUAAGUUUGAGUUUUCAACUAACACAUUGGAGUCGAGUUGAGGUGUACAGAUGUACAUACUCAAAGUUAGAGUGCUUACUUGCCGCGACCAAGUUUGAAAUGUAUGUUUAUGUAUAAACACUAUAUAGGAACAUGUAAGUUAAACUAAUACAUAAAAACAUGUCUUUACUUUCUUUUUUUCCCAUUAUAUAAAUCAGAAAAUCAUUAAAAUCCAUUUAUGUUCAUCAUAUCAAGUCAAAGUUAAACUUAAGCAUAUAAAGUCCAACUUACUUAACAAUCUUUGAUCUUUCUCAAGAAAUAGCAAAAGGCUAUUCCAUUUAAUCAUCAAAAACUAAUAACCAUGACCCCGAUGGUUUAUAACCAUCGAAGUAAGCUCGGCUUACAUCCUAUCUUAUCCUACUUUCCCCUGACUCUACUCACGGAAUCACACUAGUAUGUUGUUGUUUAUGAAAAAUUCAUUCAAUCUAGUUCAAAUGAUUUAUCUAAUCCGAAUAGACUCAAAAUUCUAGCUCCGUCUCUGAUCUAAACAAAACCAACAAUUUAAUAAGUAAGAACAACCCACAAAAGAUAGUACUAUACAACAUGUUUAGGAAAAUUGAAGAAACAAACCUGUAAGAUCAGGAUAAAGAAAGCACCAAAAAGCAAAGGAGUUAUUAAUGACUUCAAAGUCAAGGCCAUGUUUUUUUUUUCUUUCUUUAAAGCUUUCCAAUUGUGUUGUGGAAUUGGUGGAAUCUCAAAGGUAUUUAUAAUAUAAAAAAGAAAAGGAAAAAAAAAACCCCAAUUUUUAUUGGCCCAUUCUCUGACAAUAUAUUAAAUAAAUGCUUUUAUCAAACAAGAAAAUGAUGUCUAGUGUCUACUUGUGGUUGGUUUUAUAAGAUAUUUUGUUGGAUUCAAUAAUUUUUUUCAGUGUUUUACCUUUCCCAAAAGUCUAGUUCAACUUGGUAUGUUAGGUAUUCCACUUGGACUAUUCACAAGCAAUACUGUUCCUAGAUGGAUAGAAAAUAAGUAAUUCACAAAAAUAUGAUAUUUGGUUGAUAAUUUAGAAAUUCGUUAUGUAUUAUAUAAUGCACGAUAGAAGAUGAAAUAAUUUAUAUAUAUAUAUAUAACUAGUCUUUGACUAAUGAAUACCCGUAUAUACAUAAAUUUAUUCAUAAUUAAUUUGUAUAUUACUCAUACCUGCAUAAAUCUAACUAGCUGCCUGACUGUAAAAAAAAAUUCAUUAUACAUUAAAAAUCUUAUAUGUUAAAUAUUAUUAUUUUUGUAGAAUAUUUGAGGUCUACAUGUGAGAUUGCUUGAGGAAACAGACUUUACAUGUGCAACCAGAGUCAAUAUUCAUAUUUCAAUUUAAUUGCAGUAACAAGCUGGAUGAACAAUAAGGCAAGAAUAAGUUUGAAAAUUGGAGUAAUAUUGUUUUAUUGAAGUAUAAUUAAAUUAUUCCAAAUCAAUCAAAUAUCUUGAAAUUGUAAAGGAUAACAUUAGUUUUGGAUUAUGUGACAAAAUCAUAAUAGAAUUUGAUUAAGUCACGUUUCAUCCAAAGCCAAUGAUAUUACAAAGUAAAAUUCAAACUAAUUUUUUGUUUAGAUUUUCUUGUUGUUUACUUUAAUCAGGUGUACAAUUUUCCUCCAUAAAGUAUGUAAAGAAACUACUUAUAUCGUGUCAAAUUUAUUGUCAUAUUUCUUUAAAUUUCUACCAAUAAUUGAAAAUGCUAUUUUUCAUUAAAUUAUCGCCCUUACUUUUCAUUUCUUUUCCCACUAGUAAUGUUCUUUUUUUUCUUUUUCCUCUUUUUUUUUUUUGAUUGAUUGAAAAAGAUCUAAAAAUACAUAUAUAUAUAUAUAUAUAUAUAUAUAUCAUAUUUUUAGAGAAUUAUAGGUAAUUUUAUUUUCUCAAACGCAUCUUGUAUUCUUCUUUAUUUUCUAUAAAAUAAAAUAAUAAAUAAUGAUAGUGAGCAGAAAUAACUCUUUUUAAGUUUAUAGAAGGUGAGCACAUUUUGUCUAAUUUAACAAAUAGAUUCUAUAAAAAGCUAAAUCUUUUUUUAGGAAAAGUUAUUUAUAGAGGGGUUUGCAUAGGUUGUUCCCCUUUCUUUAAAAAGAAAAAAUGGGGGUUGGGAAGGGAAAAUACGGAGGUAAUUAUAUGGUAGAGAAUCGUAUAACUCCAUCAACAACAUAAAAAUUCAUGAAAUUAAUCAGAGAUAUUAAGAUUGUCCUUAUGAAAUGUUAUUGAAUGAACAAUUAUGUUUUUAAAAAUUUUCACAAUAUGACAAAUCUUCAUAUCACUGAAAUCUGACUUAAUCUAGAUUCAAGCAGACAUGACACAAAAAAUAAUUCAUAGUGAAAACUUUGAAAUGUACAUCUAAUUGAAUCCACAAGAUGAAAAUGCAUGCAUUAACAAUUUGUAUAUUAUUAGUAUUAUGUUUCUAAUACAUUCUCCCAGCUUAUGUAUAACUAAUCCAAUGUUUUAUUUGGUAUAAAGCUAGUAUUAACCAAUAUAUAUAUAAAAAAUUCAUAGUAUUAGUAAUUCAAGAGGUUUUAAUGCAUGUAUUAAUAUGAUUAAAGAUACAAAUGUCUCUCAAAACUUUUUCCAUGUCAUUUAUACCAUGUUUGUGGAUGGUAUUGUUGUAUAGAAAUAAUGAUAAAAUCAUAACCAAUACAAUCAUAACUAAUACUAAUACAUCAUAUUCAAUAUAAUUCUUAUGUAUACUACCAAACGACUCCAUAAACUGCAUAGACUUUGGUAGUAGUAUUAUUUAGUCUUGUUGAUGAAGUGACAUUUUACAUUGAUGUAUCAAGGAAAUCAUCAUCAAGUUCCACAUUUAGAUUUCUAGCUGAAGGCAAUCCUGCAACUACAUUAGAUUCAAUGUCACACUCAUUUGUUCCUCUUCUGAUCUUGAAGUACCCAUCCUGGCAUACACACACAAACACACUAAGACAAAAAAAAAAGUAACUUUUUCGCUUGUGUAAAAUUAGGAGUUGAUUUCUCAUAUAGUCACUUAACUAGCCGUUGUUAUCUCAAAAACUCAAUUUCUUUGUUGAAGAAAAUCAGAAUAAAAAAGUAAGUAUUAGUUGAGUGACCAUCUGAGAAAUCAACCAUAUAAACUCAAUAAGGACAUACAUUGCCCCAGCCUUUGUUCCAAGAAUUCACAAGAAGCUGCAUAAAAAAGAAGAUGAUGAUUAACUGCUGAUAAGUUAACAUAAUCUUAAAUGGAUACUUAUAGUUACAACAUACCCAAUAGUCCUCUCCUUCCUCACUAGUUCCCCAUCCGAUGAGCUUAACAGCAUGGCCUCCGAUAUACUCCCCUGUUACGUGCUUGUAAACUCCUGACUUGUAGUGAGCAAAAUCCUGUAUAACCAAGUAACUUAUGUUACUGUUUUGUGCUAAGCAAUCUACGUUGUACCUAAAAGUAUUUCGCCAGUAAAUACGUUCACAGAAUGUACAAAUACCUAUCAUUCUUUACCUCAUAAACAUUUAAAGCAACCUCAACUGGUCCAUUCUUGUAAACUUCUGUCAUGAUACUGUAUGGAUUGGAGCUGAUCAUGUAUGCAUUGACACCAAAAUGCUUGGACUUACUCCAGAGUAGAUUCUCGUUAACACACUUCCUGUUGCACUGUGGGGUGGGAUAUGUAGGUUCACAACCAGGGUGGGAACAUCCAAUAUUAUCGAAGUAAGGGUCACACUGCAAGAACAAGUUUUACAAACUUAUGAGUCGUUGAGCAUAUCCCUCUGAGGUGACUAAGUCGAAAAGAAUAUUAUUUACCUUUUCUGAGACCACACCCUUGCGGAUAAAGUAAUGCCAUGCUGCUAUGGGAGAUCCACCAUCACAGCCAUUGCCACAAUGAAAGCCACAGCAUGCUAUUACAUCAUUUACGGAUAGAGAUAUAUUCUACAUCACACACCAAAAGCAAUCGUCAAAGAUCAUCGUUGAAAUGAAAUGCUGCAAGUGUUCCUUUGAUUAACAUGAAUUUACCAAACCAUAAUGAAUACAGAAACGGUCAGAAAGCGAUUCAACAGCACCAAAAGCCCAACAAGAACCGCAAUGUCCCUGGAAUAUAAAGGAUAAGACUACUAUAGAACCUGGAAAAGGCAUUUAGCAUUUUUAAGAGAGAGACUAAAUAGCAAGCAAGAGCAGUCACCUGAUCUGCAAUGUAAGAUACAGAAAACAUCAGCAUUGUACUGAUCAGAAUAUAGCAUAGAAGGACCAAACAAUAAGAUGAAGAAACUGACCAAGAAUUCUUCCAAUUGUGCUACAUUCAGACCAAGCUGUUCGUGCAUCGAAUUCUUUUGGUAAAUUCUUAAGUUUUGGAUGAGUUAAAAUAGGGAUGCUCUUAAGAUCACCCUCUCUUGGGGGCUUA